rnacentral:rRNA from 1 species
GGCGAACGCUGGCGGCGCGCCUAACACAUGCAAGUCGAACGGAGUCAAGAGGAGCUUGCUUUUCUUGACUUAGUGGCGAACGGGUGAGUAACGCGUGAUUAACCUGCCCUGGAGUGGGGGACAACAGUUGGAAACGACUGCUAAUACCGCAUAAGCCCACGGAUCUGCAUGGAUCUGCGGGAAAAAGGUUUAUUCGCUCUAGGAUGGGCUCGCGUCCAAUUAGUUAGUUGGUGGGGUAACGGCCCACCAAGGCGACGAUUCAUAGCCGGACUGAGAGGUUGAGCAGCCACACGGGGACUGAGACACGGCCCAGACUCCUACGGGAGGCAGCAGUGGGGAAUAUGGGACAAUGGGCGAAAGCCUGAUCCAGCAAUGCCGCGUGAGUGAAGAAGGCCUUAGGGAUGGAAAGAUCUGUUACCCGGGAUGACAAUGACAGUACCGGGAGAAUAAGCUCCGGCUAACUCCGUG